UGGAAACACACCACUGAGAAUGAAAGGCCCCAAAGUCUUGACUUACCAGUGGUCUCCAGACUGCCUGCUUUUCACAUGAGGUCAGGAACAAAGACCUGUGGGGUGGUUGGGGUGACAGACCUGUACCCAAGCCAUGGAUAGGAUUCAUCCUGCUUCACCAGAGAUCUGUCCUCCCGGCUCGAUCCGGAUGGUCCCAUUCUAUUCAAGAUUACUCCAGGAGUCUGAUGCAGAAUGAGUUUCUGAAGGACAGAUGUACAUAACACCACAGAGAGUGAGCUCGUCUGUAGGGCUUCCAAGGUGCUUCGCAUAUUUUAUUUAAAACAUGGGAAAACUCCAUGCUUGAAGAAGAACUCUAGUGUUCUCAUGGAGCUGCAGAGACUCUUUCGGGCUUUUCGAUGCCUGGAUUCAUCGAUAAGCUGCACCAUGAAUGAGUCCAAGUCCACAUCACUGAAAGACUUCCUGGAAAGCCUAAAGAGCAUCAUGCAAAUGGAUUACUCGUAGUACUGAGCCACCAUGCUUUAACUUAUGAAUUUUUAAUGGUUUUAUUUUUAAUAUUUAUAUAUUUAUAAUUCAUAAAAUAAAAUAUUUGUAUAAUGUAACAGAAA